rnacentral:tRNA from 1 species
GCCUCGUUAGCUCAGUUGGUAGAGNNGGUAGAGCAGCUCCCUCUUAAGGAGAUGGUCGCAGGUUCGAAUCCUGCACGGGGCACGA